GUGGGAGAUGAGGAAAUGUUGGACGGGCAAGGAGGCAUGGCUGAGUCAAAUAGGAAUCCUGACUUAAUGAAGUGGUGAUUAAAGAGCUCAGCCAUGUGCUUCUUGUCAGUAACAACCACAUCAUCAACAUUAAGGGACAUGGGCAGCUGUGAGGAGGAGGAUUUAUUCUCCAGGUCUUUAACUGUUUUCCAGAACUUCUUGGGGUUCGACCCACAGAGAGAGAACUGCUCCUUAAAGUAACUAACUUUGGCCUUCCGGAUAGCCUGAGUGAAUUUAUAUCUCAUUUGCCUGAACGAGAGCCAGUCAGCCUGAGUAUGCGUGUGCUGAGUCUUUUGCCAAAUGCAAUUCUUGAGGUGGUAGUAACUCUGCAAGAUCACGGUCGAAUCAGGAGCUGAACCUGUUUUUUUAAUUCUAAUUUUCUUUAUGGGGGCGUGUUAUGUUAACAAUACCACUGAAAAUAUAAAAAAAAUAAGGUCCAAGCAUCUUCAACAGAUGGGAACAAGCUGAUUCUAUACCAUUUCACAGAGGCCAGGUCAUGAAGGGAAGGCUUGCUCGUUAAAGUUGUUUAGCAAGCGUCUAUGACAAAUCAGGAAAGGUGGUUUCACUGGGCAGCCAUUACGAACACAGGCUGUAAAACAGUGAUCACUAAGGUCCUUACAGGAAACACCAGACUGAUACCUACCUAUCAGGAUUAUUUGUGAGGAUAACAUUGAGGAGAGUAGCCUUGUGGGAUUGGUGAUAAUCUGAGCAAGAUUUAGGGAGUCCCAUUGCUUUAGGGUUUAGUCAGGUGGUUUAAGCAUGUCCCAGUUUAGGUCACCUAGCAGGACAAAUUCAGACUUAGUGUAAAGGGUACAGGCCUGUGCUGAGGGCAGGUAGGGUACAGGCCGGUGCUGAGGGCAGGUAGGGUACAGGCCUGUGCUGAGGGCGGGUAGGGUACAGGCCUGUGCUGAGGGCAGGUAGGGUACAGGCCGGUGCUGAGGGCAGGUAGGGUACGGGCCGGUGCUGAGGGCAGGUAGGGUACAGGUAGGGUACGGGCCGGUGCUGAGGGCAGGUGGGGUACGGGCCGGUGCUGAGGGCAAGUGGGGUACGGGCCGGUGCUGAGGGCAGGUGGGGUACGGGCCGGUGCUGAGGGCAGGUGGGGUACGGGCCGGUGCUGAGGGCAGGUGGGGUACGGGCCGGUGCUGAGGGCCGGUGGGGUCCAGGCCGGUGCUGAGGGCCGGUGGGGUCCAGGCCGGUGCUGAGGGCCGGUGGGGUCCAGGCCGGUGCUGAGGGCCGGUGGGGUACAGGCCGGUGCUGAUGGAGGACGAUAGCACCCAGCAACAGUCAACAAAGAGCUAUUUGAAAGUUUUUAAAGCUUAAAAACGAGCAAAUCAAAUUGUUUGGGGGACAGACUUGGUGGAGACAACUGAGCACUGAAGGUGAUCCUUGGUAAAAGAUUGCCACUCCACCACCUUUGGAAGAUCUGUCUUUCCGAAAAAAAGUUUAGAACCAGAAAGGUUAAACAUCAGGAUUCAAAACACUCUUCCUUAACCACAUCUCAGUAAUGACCAACACAUCUGGAUUGGAGAUGUGAACCCACACUUUCAAUGGAUCCAUUUUAGGUAAUAAGCUUCCGAGUGUUAACGUGCAGAAAACCCCAAGGCUUUU
rnacentral:lncRNA from 1 species